GGCCGUUUCCUUCCCUCCACCCUUUUCCCUUCGGCAGCGCCAAUGCGCAGGCGCGUAAGGCUUCUUCUGCGAUAUGCUAGUUGCGGGAACCCUGCACCGAGCAUAAGUUAAGACGCCAAGUCUAUUAAAGGAGGAGCGGCGGAAGGCGAGUUUUUCAGUCUGUGCCCGCCUAUAGUAAGAAUCUCUGGAAAACGACCCAAGAAUUGUAGCUGUUGAUACAUCUUGCACUCUGGAAGAAGAGGGAAAGACUCCUGCCUGAAACCUGGGAGAGCUGUUGCCAGUUAGUGUAGACAGUACUGACCUAGAUGGACCCUUGGUCCAUCUGGGUAUUAAGACAGCUCCAUAUUCCUAUGAGAGUGGGCCAGAAGAGCCAACGAAGGUGGCAGGCUUCAGACUGGGGAAGGUUUCCUAUUUGUCUACAAAGUCCUUUCAUUGAUUCUGCUUUGGCUGAUGUAGGAACAUGCACUCUUGUUUUCCAGAAUGCUUUAAUGGAGAGAAUGAGGAUGGUAUAGAUUCAGGCUUGUGCUGUGCUGUAAAAAGUCACGUGACAAAAUAAAUACUGUUUUUGUAUUAGA